AGUAGUCUUGUUGGAUUUCUGGCCAAGUCCAUUUGGAAUGAGAAUGAGGAUUGCUUUGGCUGAGAAAGGGAUAAAAUAUGAGUCAAAGGAAGAAGAUUUGAGGAACAAGAGUGAUUUGCUUUUGCAGAUGAAUCCUAUUCACCAAAAAAUCCCUGUUCUUAUCCAUAAUGGUAAACCUGUUUGUGAGUCACUCAUCCAGGUUCAGUACAUUGAUGAGGUUUGGCAUCAUAAAUCUCCUUUGCUUCCUUCUGAUCCUUACCAGAGAGCUAUUGCUAGAUUCUGGGCUGAUUUUGCUGACAAGAAGGUACUUUCGUUUUUUACUUUUUUCUACUUUUUCUAAGUCUAAGUUUUCUUUGAUUUAGUCAGACUGACUUUGAAUUUUGGAGGGUUUUCUUUUUAUUUAUAAACCAGCAGUCUACUAAUUAAGAAUUGACUGCUAAUGCUAGUGUGAUAACUUUAAUCAAUAGACUGUUUUGAUUUGAGAUACUUUUGAGUUUCAAUUUUUUUUCUUUUUUUUGGGGUAAUUUUGAUAAUUAGAUGCCUAAUCAAGUCAAGUUGUGGUGAAUAGUAUAUUUUGGUAUAAUUGAUAUUGAAUCAAGCAGUGAGAGAUAACAUUGUUUAAUAAAAAUGCAGAUGUCUGACCUUGGGAGGAAAAUAUGGGCAACUAAGGGAGAAGAACAGGCAAAUGCAAAGAAAGAAUUUAUUGAGAGCCUGAAGCUGUUGGAAGGAGAGCUUGGAGACAAGCCUUACUUUGGUGGAGAAAAUCUUGGUUAUGUAGAUGUUGUCUUUGUCCCAUUUUACAGCUGGUUUUAUGCCUAUGAGAUGUGUGGUGACUUCAGCAUUGACGCAGAGUGCCCCAAACUGAUGGCAUGGGCUAAAAGGUGUCUGGAAAAGGAGAGUGUAUCCGAGUCUCUUCCUGACCAAGAAAAAGUCUAUGGCUUUGUUUUGCAAAUGAAGAAAGCCUUUGGAAUUGAGUGAAAUUGUGGAGGGGCUACUUUUAGUUUUCAUGUUUUAUGGUUGGUUUGAAUAAAUGGGCAUUUAGUUGUGCCUCGUUGUUUUGUGUUGUUAGGGUGAAUGUUUUCUUUUCUUUUUUUUUUUUUCCUGUUCUGAAAGAUAGUCAGAGCACUUAGAUUUGGUUGUGAUUCUGAUUUGAAAUUUGAAGUUAUUAAAAAGUAAUACGUUUCCUAAAUAUGUUUUACCUGGUAUUUUUUGUGCACAUAUUCUUUUUAAUUUCAGUUUUUUUUUAUCAAUUUGGCAACUUGGCUAUCCAUGUGGAUCGCAAAAAUUUCUGGUCUACUAUGACAAGAAUAGGAUAAAUUAUCAUUGAUGUCAAUUUUUUUUUAUUGUAAGAAUGUUUUCCUAAUUUCAACGAAAAAAUUGCAAGCCAUCUCUUUGUGAUUUUGUUUUAAAGCAUACUCAACUAAAUUUUGCUGAGUAAUGUAUAAGUCAAAAUCAAUUUCAAUUGAUGCUAAAAUUUGGACCUAAUUAACCAUUGCAAGGUUUUUCAAUAAAAAAUUACUUUUUGGUUUUUUUUUUUUUAUCUCUUUAAAUUCUAAUGUGAUGUAAUCAUCAUAUCAAUGUAUUAAGUAAUAAAUAGUUUAAGAAUUUUACAUAACAAUGCUCUUAGAUUGUUGAUAAUAAUCAUAUAUUAUUUUAUAUGAUGAUUAGAUUUUCAUCCAAAAACGUAAAAAAAAAUUUUAUCAAUGAGAGUUAUUUUUCAAAUCAUUUUAAAAUAAAUUAAAUUUCUGAUUGGUAUCCAUCAAAAUAUGUCUCUUUUUUUAUAAAUAAAAUUUCACUUUUUAAUCAUUUUAUACAAGACAAUUUAUAUGAUUUUAAAUACGAACAUGUUAAUAAUUUUGAAUCAUACUCAUGAGAACUUGUUCAUACCUUAUAUCUUUUGUAGAACAAUGAUUCUUAUUUUAUAAUUUUUUUUUCAUUCAAUAAAAAAUUAAAAACGUUGGUUUCUUUUAAAUAACCUUAAUAAUAAUAAUAAGGUUAUUUUGAAAUUUUUUUUAUUUUCAAUGAUUUUUUUAUGCAAUAUAAAGAAAUGAUUUAUAAUAUUAUAUUAAUCAUGAUGAUCUAAAAUCAUUACUCAUCAAAUUAUUUUAAUAAUUUUAUAAUCACGAUAAUUAGAUCACUACAAUUAUUUUAAAAGUGAUAAAAAAAAAAAAACUAUUCUUCAACUUUAACUUUCUCAUGAUUUUUUGAGGUUUAAUAUGUUUGGUGUGAUAAUGGGCUCUUAAGCCCAAAAAAAUUAGAUUUAAAGGCGAUGGAUAAGCCUACGAAUUAGUGCUAUUUUCAUUGAAUCGUUUUUGUCUUAAAUUUUGUAUUUCCUCACAUGAUAUAUAUAUAUAUAUAUAUAGUUAUUGAAUGAAUUCACAAAUGAUCUAUUAAUUCAUGAGUGAGUAAAUUAAUUCAUAAAUGAAAUAUUAUAAUUAUAAUUAAAAUAAUUAUUGUAUGCUAUAUUAGGGAAUACAAAUAUUUUUUGGGUAACUUGGCUGUCCAUAUGGACCGCAAAUUUCUAGCCAAAUUUGACAAGAACAGGAUGAAUUAUCGUUGAUGUCAUUUUUUUUCUAUUGUAAUUAAGAAUGUUUUCCUAAUUUCAACUAAAAAAAUUGCAAGCCACGUCUUUGUAAUUUUGUUUUAAUGAAUACUUAAUUAAAUUUUGAGGGGAUAGUAGAAAUCAAAAUAAUUUUGAAUAGAUGUCUAACUUUGGACCUAAUUAACCAUUGCAAGGUUUUUCAAUAAAAAGUUUACAUCUUGGUUUUUUUUUUAAAUGUUUUAGAAUAUCUUUAACAUCGAAAGUGAUGUAAUGAUUAUAUAACUGUAUUUAAGUAAUAAACAAUUUCAUAAUCUUACAUGAUAGUAAUUUUAAAUUAUUGAUAAUAAUUAAAUAUUCUUUUAUAUAAUAAUUUAAUUUUCAUAUAAAAAAUAUAAGAAAAUUUUAUCAUUGAGAGUGAGAAUGAUUUUUAAAAUCAUUUUAAGAUAAAUUUAUUUUCAAAUUGGUAUCCAUCAAAAUAUGUUUCUCUUUAAAUUUUUUUAAAAAACAAACUUUCACUUUUUUAAAUCAUUUUGUACAAGAUAAUUUAUAUGACUUUAAAUAUGAACAUUAUAAUAAUUUUGAAUUAUACUCAUAAGAACUUAUUCAUACCCUAUAAUUUUUUUUUUCUAAAUGGUAUAAAAAGCCCUUUGAACUAUAAUUAAAAUAUCAUUCCAGCUUUUAUUUUUUUAUUGUAACCAAUCAAUUCUUUCAACAUUUACAUGCAUCCAAUUAAAUUUUAUUUGGAUGAAAAUGUUUCCUUAAUUUUUUUUUGUCAACUAAUAUAAAAUUUCUUGUGAAAUCUAUAAAAUAGAUGAAAGUUUAUCACGUAAUAUAAUUAAUAUUUAAAAAUUAAAUAAAAUAAGCUUUUCUUUUUUUUCUCUCUCUAUUUUCUUUGUUUCCUUUUCUCUAAGAUCUCUAUAAAGAAUUAAUUGACUAAAUUUUAUUACAUAAUUAGAUUUUAUUCAUUUAAAAAUUUAUCUUUUUAUUGAGUCAGUAAAAAGUUUCAGUUCAAAGUUAAUCCCAGCCGAUAUUUAGGAUUUCUAUCAACACCUUUACUUGGCGUGGAUGUUCCAUAAAGAAGCGUGGAGUUAAGGAUGCAUAUGUUAAGCAUCUUUGGUUUUGGGUAUGUAGAGUAUUUAUUUUAUUGAUAGGGUUUUCUAUGCUUAUGGAUGUUUUGGAUAUUGAAAAUAUUUUUUUUGUUAGGGAAUAUUGACUCAAAUAUCAUAAACGAUUUAUUUGGAAUUAAAUUAACUAAAUAUUACUUGAUGAAUAAAAAUAUUUGCAAGAGAAGAAUUUUAAGAGAAAAUAUAUUUUUAAUAGACAAGUUUAUAUGCUUAUAAAUAAAUAAAAUUUCUAUUAGGUUAAGUAUGAGAAAAAAUAUAAGAGAGCUAUAGGGUUUAUGGGAUAAACACUCCCUAAGACUAUUGAAAAUUUACGAAAGAGACUGAAAAAGUUUACAUAGGUAUAGUGCCUUGGUGCAUAUAGAUAUGCGUUUAUUUGGAUUAAGAAUACUCCGUGUAAAUUGUUUGCUUUUGUAUCCAACACAUUCUUUGGACAUUUUGGAAGCAAAAGUUAAGGACCAAAAGUGGUGGUGAAAGGAGCCAAAUUUGUUUUUGGCCUUCCAAAAGUUUUCUCUUUUAGCAAGGGAUCUAUUUACAAUGCAAUUUCGGAGAUGUCUUCUGGUGUCAUGUAGCCGUGAACAUAUAGUCAUUGUAUAAAGUGGCCUCUGAACUCAAAACUUGUUCAAUUAUGUAUCUAAAUCUUAAAAAUUGUGUGCAUUUUGGUCGGAUAACUGAUAGAAUUGAUUAAUGUGCUAAGUAGAUAGAUGGGUUUGUUAACUAUAGAACAGUACAAAGUAUAUUUUAUUAAACACUAUGUGUAAGCAUUUUGAUGGCAUGUGAUGCCCAUGUGGACUGGAAACUUGCCUGGAUUAUAACACAUAUCUCACUUGCCUGAUGGAUAUAUUCAUGCAAUAAAAUAACUGCUUGAGAUCUAGUUUAUUGCAAACUGCAACAUACCUGACACCUUGUGUGAAAUUUCUUUUUUUCUCUAACAAGUUUGACUAGCUGUUCUACAUAUAAUUAACAGAAAGGCAGGUCAAUGCCGCUAGAAUUGAAAGUGUAGGCACCGGAUGGAAUACUUCCUUUUUUCAGUUUUAAGGAUCAUGUUACUCGUUGAUUAUUGGUGUAGGGGUCAUUUAUAGCGUCAUUUCUUUUAUUAUCACAUGAAAUCCCACCAGUAUGGUGGCUGUAAAGUGUCAAUAAAUUACCUAAAUCCUGCCGAGUCACAAUCUAAUCAAUCUGCAUUAUCAACACUUGGUACGGAACAUGUAAAAAUCAUUUAGCUCCAUUUGAUUAGUGCUUUUGUUUUUUUUACUUUUUCUAUUUGUUUUUUUAUUUUCAGUAUUGUUUUUUUUUCUUUCUCAUUUUGUAUUGAAGAAAAUAAAAAGCAAAUAACAAAAGCGUAAAUAAAAGGCAGCCUUAAAUUGGAAGUGCUAAAAUACUUGGUGGACGUAAAAUGAUUGUUUUCAAUCUUUGUCUGCAUUGAACUAACUGCUAUUGAUAUAAUCUUCAGUCCUCUACUGCUAAUUUAUUCUGUUUGCACCUUUUGAAUGUGCAGAGAAUACUGGAACACAAAAACACCUGCAACUUAUCAUUGCAUAUGCCGUGACAAGCCUCUUUUUAAGUAAGUCUUUGAUUUUGUUAGGAAUUUCCAACUAAAAUCAAUUGAACCUACAACAUUCCAAACAUUUAUCAAUACAUGAUCCUCUCCUCCAGAUCAUCGACUAAAUUUGACAGAACUGGCUGGCCUUCAUAUUAUCAGCCUAUAGGAAACAAUGUGAAGUCAAAAUUAGAUCUGUCCAUAAUUCUUAUGCCUCGCGAAGAAGUUCUGUGUGCUGCUUGCAAUGCUCAUCUUGACCAUGUCUUUUAUGAUGGUCCUCCACCUACAGGAAAGCGUUAAAGCAUAAAUAGGUAAAACAUUUUCUUUUAAUGCCGGGUUGUGUCUAAUCUUAUGCAAUUUAUUCUUUAUGGACUUCAUUUGAGCUAUGGUUAUUUUGCAGCGAUCCCCUAAAACUGAAACCCAAGUAAGAAAUAGUAUUAAGCUUGCAGUCGCAAAGCACAGACGAGACACUUGUGAUUGAAAAAAAUGAAAUAAUAUUUUCACUGAAUUUGGUGUAUGAUGUUCAACUAAUUUCAUGUGACAGCAAAUCCAUGUAAUUUUGUAGUAUUCAUGUAAGCCUGAUGGCACAAAGGCAUGAUAAAAUCCUUGCAACAAGUUAUUGGUAGUAUAAAACCCUUAAAAAAUGCAUAUGAAGUUGUAUAAAACAAAUUAAAGAUUAUUUUAUUUUAUUAAUAUCUUGAAGAUAAAACACCUUGUUCAAGGUUGAGCCAGUAAUAUAUCAGAAAAAAUUUAUAAUUAAUAAUACAUUAAUUUAGUAAGAAUAACACAUUAAAUUAAAUAUAUAAUUGAGAACAAUAUUGUACCUAACUUCAAUCUUUACUUAUAGGCAUCCGUUACUCAAACUUAGGGAAGAAAUGUUACAUGAUAUAAACAAAUGAUUACAUAAUAAAAAGAGAGAUAUUUGCUGAUGAGUACAAUAAAAACAUUUUUUAAUAAAAUUUUACUAACGAGUCUUUUAUAUAUUUAUAAAAUUACAUAACAUAUUAUUUAUAGUAUUUUUUAUGUUAUAUAUAAUAAUUAUUGUGAUAAUUUUAAUGUAUCUGAAAAAAUAUUUUCGUACCACGGGAAUAUUAGAAUGACCUAAACAAUGGUUUGGCAAAAUCCUAAGUACUGAAAUAACUUCAAAAAUGUUAUAAGCUGUGAUGAUUAAAUGUAAAAUACAAAUAUAUAAACUUUUUAAAAAAUUUUUAGGUUAAAAUAAUACAAGUUCAUAAAUUUUAUUUCUUUAUUUAAAUAAACUUUUUUUUAUUUUUAUUGAACUUAAAUAAUUUUUUUUUAUUUUACAUUCAAAUAAACUUUUAAAUUUUAAGUUUAUCUAAAUAUAUAUUUAUCAUCUAAUUUGUAUUUAAAUGUAUUAUUUAAAUACACUAAAAAUAUAAAAUGUUAUCUAAAUAAAAUAAUAAAAUUCAAAAACCCUUUUAAUAUUUUAGUCAAAAUUUAAAUGACAUUUAUUACUAUCAUAAUAUUUUUGUAGUAGCAAAUUUCUUGAGACCGAAAAAAAAAAUAAAAGAAAAAGAAAAAUCAAAUGAAAAACACAAUAGAUGAGCGAAAAUUUCUGUGUAUGUUUGAUGGCGCAUGCAAUUGCAUAACAGCAACAUCGUUUCUUGUCAGAAAACGAAAGUGUCAGUAAUACAUAUUUAGAAAAAUAAAAAACUAAUUUUUAUGGAUCCUGUGAUGUAAGCAAUGGCAUAUAAUCUGUGUAUCCUUUUGUAGUAAAAGAAAGUCCACCAACUUCCCUAAACUAAUUUUUGUAGAUCCCGUGACAUAAGCAAUUACAUAUAGUUUGAGUAUUCUUUUAUCGUAAUAGAAGGCCCUCGAAGCACCAACGCUCCUAAAUUUUUUUGUAUAUAAAUACACUUUGACAAACCCUUUUUCAUCGAAAACCAAAACCAAAACCAAAACAAAACCAAGGGUUUUUUUUUAAGUCUUCUUAAAUUUUUAGUUGAGUUUCAAAUCUGUGAUUGUUUAGUUUAUCAAAAUGUCGGAGGAAGUAGUUGUGUUGGAUUUCUGGCCAAGUCCAUUUGGAAUGAGAAUGAGGAUUGCUUUGGCUGAGAAAGGGAUAAAAUAUGAGUCAAAGGAAGAAGAUUUGAGGAACAAGAGUGAUUUGCUUUUGCAGAUGAAUCCUAUUCACCAAAAAAUCCCUGUUCUUAUCCAUAAUGGUAAACCUGUUUGUGAGUCACUCAUCCAGGUUCAGUACAUUGAUGAGGUUUGGCGUCAUAAAUCUCCUUUGCUUCCUUCUGAUCCUUACCAGAGAGCUAUUGCUAGAUUCUGG
rnacentral:lncRNA from 1 species